rnacentral:SRP_RNA from 1 species
GCCAGGUGUGGUGGUGCACGCCUGUAAUCCCAGCUACUUAGGAGGCUGAGGCAGGUGAAUCGCUUGAACCCAGGAGACGGAGGGUGCAGUGAGCCGAGAUCGUGCCACUGCACUCUAGCCUGGGCAACAAGAGCGAAACUCUGUCUCAA